CUGCAACUUCCCAGGCGCCGGAUGCAUUUUGCCCCGCGGGGGAAGAGUUGGUGGUGAAGAAGAACCCGGAAGUGCACCAUCUUGCCUCCGUUCCUCCAAACAGGCAAAGGCAGCAGAGUUGGCUAAAAAUGAUCGCGGGUAAAAGCCUCCAAGGAGAGGGCUCAGAAAAGUCACAAGGUCUUUGACUUUGAAGAGUGGAACAAGAAGGCAACAUGUUUUCUGUGAAGCCGACCUGCAUGUCAAGGAGCUCGAUGAUGAUGGAAUCCCAGUGCUGGCUUCCAGGGUGAGGGUC